rnacentral:misc_RNA from 1 species
UUGGAGUUUCCAAGGUGAUAAUCACAA